GAUGAAGAACGCAGCGAAAUGCGAUAAGUAGUGUGAAUUGCAGAAUUCAGUGAAUCAUCGAAUCUUUGAACGCACAUUGCGCCCCUUGGUAUUCCAUGGGGCAUGCCUGUUCGAGCGUCAUUUGUACCUUCAAGCUUCGCUUGGUGUUGGGUGUUUGUCCCUCGGGACUCGCCUUAAAGUCAUUGGCAGCCAGUGUUUUGGUUUUGAAGCGCAGCACAAGUCGCGAUUCAAGGCUAUCCGCCCGCUUCCACAAGCCUUUUUCACUUUUGACCUCGGAUCAGGUAGGGAUACCCGCUGAACUUAAGCAUAUCAAUAAGCGGAGGA
rnacentral:misc_RNA from 1 species